CAGAGGUGCAAAACACCGAAAGGAAACCUCAAUGCUGCGGGUUAUCUACAGCCGUAAAGAGGGCACUUCCUGUUUGCUUCUUUCUGGUACAGGAAUUAGCUCCUGGCAUAGUCUGGGAGCUGUGGGAGGCAGCAGGAAGUCCUACUGAUCAACCUCCAAGAGGAUGGAGAAAUCCUUCAUUCCUCCCCGCAGCCGCCACACCCAGGGGCAGCCUCCUGACUGGCUCCCCUGCUUCCUCUUCUGCCAUCUACAACCCAUUCUCCAUACAUUUUGCAGCUACCAGGACAGAACUUGCAUAGUCAACCAAUGUUCAAGUCUCCCAGAGGAAUAACAGAAGACCUACAGAGACUUAUUUCUCUUAACAGCCUUCUCAAGGAUCUACCCAUAAUAAAGGCCUGGGGAUCUGUUGGAUCCGAACUGUCUAGCAUGGACGUCGCGGGAGCACACGUGCUAGAGUGAGCCAACCCCUCCACAUGGAGGCAGGCCAGCGUUAAGGCAGAAAUCACUCUAUUUAAAGACUCUCAAAUGGUGAUUUAGGAUGUGGGCUUGAAGAGUAGCAAUGUUUAGCAGCAGUUUGACAUUAUUCUUUGUAUUACACUUGUGUUAACCUCAAGCCCUGAAGUUUUAUGUAAAAGCCACAGCCUGGCCUGAGGUGUGCCGCGGGCAAUGAAGAAGCACCCAUCUAAUGGCCAUGGGGCUGCAGUGCACUUUCUCUGAGGCAUAAGAGGAUUGAGCAGAAAUAGCUGGGCUUUCUUUUGCAAUGGAGGAGCACAGUGGCCACCACGUGGAAAGCAGGGACAGCGCCAGAGAGAACCAAAGAGACCUGCUCCAGAUCGCACACGAGGCAGUGUCCAGGAACUCCACAAAAAACCUGGCAAAAUACCCAGCCAAACGCAGCUGAAGGACAUUCUACACACAGGCUGGUACCCCUCAGGAAUGUCCAUUUCAUCAAAGGAACAGAGAGGGUGAGGACUAUUCCAAGGAAAAGGACAUGAGAGGCAUGACAACAAAAUUGAAGGGUGUGAUCCUGGACUGGCUCUUGGAUCAAAAAAAUAAAUGCCCUAGAGGACAUUUAAUUAUUGGCAUAAUUGGUGAAAUUUUCAUAUGAGGUGUAUGUUGGGUAAUAGAAAUGUGUAUUGCUGUUAAAUUUCCUGAAUUUGUUUAUUGAAUUAUGGUUAUGUAAGAGAAAGUUCUUGUCCUUAGGAGGCAUUUAGAAGUAUGAUCAGGUAUUUAAGAGUGAAAGGUCAGGGUCAUAUUGUGUGAAAGUUAUUUUCAAAUGGUUUAGCCAGAAAGUUAAUAAUGGUUGUGUGUGUGUGUGUGUGUGUGUGUGCAUAGAAAGAGAGAGAGAAAGGCAAAUGUGGCACUAAAGAACAAUAAUUUCAUGAGUAAUUACUCAAUGCAUAAUAAUUUAUUAUCAAAAGUGUGACUUUAGUAUAGAAAGUAGACUUUAUUUACAUGUAUCAAAUGGUAUAUCUUGGUAAGGUCUGCACCAUAUACAUCAUGUUCAUAAUCCUUAACAUUCAGAGGCACUUUGAUAAUCAUGCAUAGCACGUAGUAAUGCAUCCCUUUUUCUCCAUCUUGUAAUGGUGAUUUAGAUGUACAGUUUUCUAAUUGCUUGUUUCUUAUGUUAUGAUGGAAAACGGAUGUGUUGUUUGGCAUGAUUGCUUCACUUGCUACCCUGAAAAUACAUUGACUUCAAUCAUUUUUGGCAUCCCUAACACCUAGCAAUGUCCUCCUAAUGGUGGUUAACAAACAAAUCUACUGCAUGGAUUGAAUAGCUGUAUAAAUAGCAUGUAAAGGGGUCAAUGAAGUACCACCACGUUAAGAGAUACAUAGCACGGGCAUCUCCUGAUAAGAUCAGUGGACAGACGCCAUCUAGAAACAUCUCUUUCCACUUGUGUGCCAUGGUAUCCUCUUUAAUCCAGAUUCACAGCUGACUUUAGACCUGGUUCCUCUAUGACUUGGAGACACUCUAGUCUUAUUCCUUCCUAGUAAUGGAUCUCAGCAAAUGACUCUCCUUCUGAGCACUCCUUGUUUUUGGCAUUUGCUAAGUCCAUUAGUUCAGUUACAACCCUUGAGUAGGUAAAAAUUUUGACCUUCACCAUCCAGUUUAUUCCCUAAAGCAGACUUUUCUGUUAGAGACCACACUGAAUCACAUGUCAAGCCUAUUACAAAUUAUUGACCAAAACACAGAAUUCUUGACUGGAAAGAGAUAACUAUCAAACCUUCCUGGUUGGGAAUGUAUCCAGUGGGAGACACAUGUUAUAGGCAGAAUAGGCAGAGUAGAAUGGGUACAUGUUAGCCAAAGCCAAAAAAGAGUGUCUGUACAUUUUAAGGACUAUAGUCAUCUUUUUGCUUUUCCUCCUGUUUUUGAGGUUGCCAUAAAUAUGCACAUAAUUCAAAAUUCCUUAAGUAUCAGGGAGUAUUUGUUAACUUACUCUCCUCCCAGUAUUCUUACAUUAUCAAAAUUACAUCUUAAAUAUGAUUUAGGUUUUUUUGUUUUUAAUUUUUUAAUUUUUUUUUAUUUUUACAGUCACAUAGUAGGUACAUUUUUAUGCGGUACAUGAGAUAUUUUGAUAUAGGCAUACAAUGUGUAAUAAUCACAUCAAGGUAAAUGGGGUAUCUAUAACCUUAAGUAUUCAUUAUUUCUUUGUGUUAGAAGCAUUCCAGUUACACUCUUUUAGUUAUUUAAAAGUGUACAAUAAGUUGUUGUUGACUGUAGUUAUCUUGUUGAAUAAAGAUCAAAUACUAGAUCUUUAUUCAUCCUAUCUAACUAUAUUUUUUGUACCCAUUAAUUAUUCCCAUUUCCUUCUCCCUCCCAAAGUGUGAUUUGAUUAAUGAAUAAACAAAUGAGACUCCAGGCCAAGAAGUGCUCAGUUCUAAGUGUCUUACUCCAAUGUAUUAUUGAUUUAAAUAUGACCAUCCAUUUCAUAAAGAAAAAGAUUAAGGGCAAUAAGGGUAGUAAUUCAUAUUCAGAGAUGAAGAAUACGGCAGACAUAAAUUCUUACUUGGCAGCUGUUAAAAAGUUAAUGGAUAAAAAGAAAAAACAACCAGUCAUUUUCUAUUUCACCUUGUUUUCUCCCUAGGUGAUGUUUAUCAGAUUCUAAAAGCUCAAACAAAGGCUUUGGUUAAGUCUUGAAUGAGAGAGAAUUUUAUGAGAACCCCUAGCUGCCAGAAACACUGACAUAAUUGAGCCACUAUCUGAAAUUGUUGUGAACAAGAAGCUAAGUAUUGCGUAAGGGUGGGC
rnacentral:lncRNA from 10 species